rnacentral:rRNA from 1 species
UACGAAGGGGGCUAGCGUUGUUCGGAAUCACUGGGCGUAAAGGGCGCGUAGGCGGCCGAUCAAGUCGGGGGUGAAAGCCUGUGGCUCAACCACAGAAUUGCCUUCGAUACUGUUUGGCUUGAGACCGGAAGAGGUUAGUGGAACUGCGAGUGUAGAGGUGAAAUUCGUAGAUAUUCGCAAGAACACCAGUGGCGAAGGCGGCUGACUGGUCCGGUUCUGACGCUGAGGCGCGAAAGCUAGGGGAGCAAACGGG